GUCUCGGAUAGCUUAACUGGCAGAGCCCUUGGCGCGUAACCGAGAGAUCUGGGUUCGAUUCCCAGUCUGGGCU
rnacentral:tRNA from 1 species